rnacentral:rRNA from 1 species
GGGCGUAAGGGCUCCAGGCGGUUUCUUAAGUCUGAUGUGAAAGCCCCCGGCUCAACCGGGGAGGGUCAUUGGAAACUGGGAAACUUGAGUGCAGAAGAGGAGAGUGGAAUUCCACGUGUAGCGGUGAAAUGCGUAGAGAUGUGGAGGAACACCAGUGGCGAAGGCGACUCUCUGGUCUGUAACUGACGCUGAGGAGCGAAAGCGUGGGGAGCGAACAGGAUUAGAUACCCUGGUAGUCCACGCCGUAAACGAUGAGUGCUAAGUGUUAGGGGGUUUCCGCCCCUUAGUGCUGCAGCUAACGCAUUAAGCACUCCGCCUGGGGAGUACGGUCGCAAGACUGAAACUCAAAGGAAUUGACGGGGGCCCGCACAAGCGGUGGAGCAUGUGGUUUAAUUCGAAGCAACGCGAAGAACCUUACCAGGUCUUGACAUCCUCUGACAACCCUAGAGAUAGGGCUUUCCCUUCGGGGACAGAGUGACAGGUGGUGCAUGGUUGUCGUCAGCUCGUGUCGUGAGAUGUUGGGUUAAGUCCCGCAACGAGCGCAACCCUUGAUCUUAGUUGCCAGCAUUCAGUUGGGCACUCUAAGGUGACUGCCGGUGACAAACCGGAGGAAGGUGGGGAUGACGUCAAAUCAUCAUGCCCCUUAUGACCUGGGCUACACACGUGCUACAAUGG